rnacentral:rRNA from 1 species
GACGAACGCUGGCGGCGUGCUUAACACAUGCAAGUCGAACGGAAAGGCCCUGCUUUUGUGGGGUGCUCGAGUGGCGAACGGGUGAGUAACACGUGAGUAACCUGCCCUUGACUUUGGGAUAACUUCAGGAAACUGGGGCUAAUACCGGAUAGGAGCUCCUGCUGCAUGGUGGGGGUUGGAAAGUUUCGGCGGUUGGGGAUGGACUCGCGGCUUAUCAGCUUGUUGGUGGGGUAGUGGCUUACCAAGGCUUUGACGGGUAGCCGGCCUGAGAGGGUGACCGGCCACAUUGGGACUGAGAUACGGCGCAGACUCCUACGGGAGGCAGCAGUGGGGAAUAUUGCACAAUGGGCGGAAGCCUGAUGCAGCAACGCCGCGUGCGGGAUGACGGCCUUCGGGUUGUAAACCGCUGUCGCCUGUGACGAAGCGUGAGUGACGGUAAUGGGUAAAGAAGCACCGGCUAACUACGUG